rnacentral:rRNA from 1 species
UGCAAGUCGAGCGCAUCCUUCGGGAUGAGCGGCGGACGGGUGAGUAACGCGUGGGAAUGUGCCCUUCUCUACGGAAUAGCCACUGGAAACGGUGAGUAAUACCGUAUACGCCCUUAGGGGGAAAGAUUUAUCGGAGAAGGAUCAGCCCGCGUUAGAUUAGGUAGUUGGUGGGGUAACGGCCUACCAAGCCUACGAUCUAUAGCUGGUUUUAGAGGAUGAUCAGCCACACUGGGACUGAGACACGGCCCAGACUCCUACGGGAGGCAGCAGUAGGGAAUCUUGGACAAUGGGGGAAACCCUGAUCCAGCCAUGCCGCGUGAGUGAAGAAGGCCUUAGGGUCGUAAAGCUCUUUCGCCUGUGAUGAUAAUGACAGUAGCAGGUAAAGAAACCCCGGCUAACUCCGUGCCAGCAGCCGCGGUAAUACGGAGGGGGUUAGCGUUGUUCGGAUUUACUGGGCGUAAAGCGCGCGUAGGGCGGAUUGGAAAGUUGGGGGGUGAAAUCCCGGGGCUCAACCCCGGAA